rnacentral:pre_miRNA from 1 species
CCUAGCCGUCGUCGCCACCCGUCAGGAGGCUAGGGCCACCGGAUCCAGCGAGCUCGACCUCCUCGCCAGCGGAUCCAGCUGACCGGA